UGGAUUGACAUUUAGGAGUGAGCAAGGUUCUCUGUCAAUUAGACAGUUGCUGUGGGAAGCGGAGAGGAGUGCAUGAACAGAGGGAGUUCCUGGUGGGAAAGAGAGGGAGAAGAAGCUAUGAACUAAUAAGCUCGUCCACUACAAGGGAAGAAGUCACUACCAUAGAGGAGGAUAACCACAAACUCCUCCGAAAUCACAUCCACAUCUGCACAGCGGUCAACAGAACAACCUUCUCACAAUUUAUAACUCAAACUGUCUCCACUUUGCUUUGGUACCCAUUCCAUGAAGAAGCAGGAGACAGGCUUCCAUUGAGUCAGGGACAGUGAUGGGUUUACAGAGAGGGGCACUGCGAUGGGCACUUCCCUGGCUGCUGUUGGUCAUGGCUGGAGGGUCACACGGCUCCCUGGUGAAGACUAACCUAGGGUUGAGGGUGAAGAGGGGCCAGCUGGCCUACCUGCAGGAGGGGGACCUGCAGUUCCACAUCCCCCCGGUGAAGGACGCCUGCAAGGUGGAGGUGGUGCUCAACGAGCCAAUUACGCAGAGGGUGGGAACGCUGACACCCCAGGUGUUUGACUGCCACUACCUGGCUGAUGACGUAAAGUAUGUCCACAAUGGCUGCCCGAUACUAAAAGAAGAUACUGUCAAGCUUCGACUCUACAGGUUCACAGAGACAGAGACCUUUACAGAGGUCUUCUUCCUGCGUGUGGAGAUCAUGGAACCUGACUGCAACAUCAUCAAACUAGGGCCCAAGUCCCUGGUGGUGCCAGAGUUCUACGGCCUGUCCGACACGCUGGAUGGCAACGUGGUGUCCUUCCACUAUGAGAGGAUGACCAGUCUUGAGUGUAGCAUCCGUGUGAACACACACGAGACACACCUCCCGGGUCAUGGUCAGUUGGUCAUUGGGGAGCCAGACCAGCUGGAGGCCAGAGGGGACGAGCCGGAGAGCUUCAUUCCUCUCCGGCAGCAGCUAGAUAACAAGGCCAGGGCCAUGUGUAAGACUGAGGACUGCCUGAACGGCCUGAAGCUGGCAAAGGUUAUCAAAGUGCCCUGUGAUGAGUUCCUGGUGAUGGGCCUAAGGUACCAGCACAUAGACCCACCGUCUCCAGACGUAGACUACAUCGCCCUCCGACUGGACCUCACCGACACCAGGAGCGGGAGCAUAUAUCAGUCGGAGCGGGCCUGGAUACCUGUCCACAUCCCUGGCGCUGUUCCCAACCAGCCGCCCAAGCCAGCCUUCAUGUCCAUGUUUAUCCUGGAAGUGGACCAAUUCAUCCUCACGCCCCUCUCCACUGCCACCCUGGACGCAGAGGACGGAGAGACCCCCAAACAGCUGCUGGUGUUCAACAUCACCAAGCCCCCCCUAGAGGGCUUCAUCACCCACCUGUCAGACCACACACGACCCAUCUUCUCCUUCACCUGGGUGGACCUCAACGACAUGCUUAUCGGCUACCAGCCACCCAACUCAUCCCACACCCAGCGUAGGAACUACGAGGUGGAGUUUGAGGUACAUGACUUCUUCUUUGAGAAGAGCGCCCCGAUCAUGGUCCACAUGUCAGUUAGAACAGCAGACACCAAUGCACCCAGGGUGUCAUGGAACAUGGGUCUUAGUCUUCUUGAAGGUCAGUCUCGUCCAAUCACUUGGGAUCAGCUCCAGAUUGUGGACAACGACAACUUCAAGGCUGUACGCAUCAUCACUGUCGACGGCCUCCAGCAUGGCAGACUAACACUGAGAGGUGGCAAGGGUUUCAUGUUCACCGUGGCCGACAUCCUCGCGGGCGCUGUGCGCUACCAUCACGACGACAGCGACACCACCAAGGACUUCAUCAUCUUCCGCAUCACCGAUGGGCGCCACCAGACCCGGCACAAGUUCCCCAUCAACAUCCUGCCCAAGGAUGACAGCCCACCAUUCCUCAUCACCAACACAGUGCUGGAGCUCUCUGAGGGCCACACGGCCCUGCUGAGAGGAUCCAUACUGCAGGCCUCAGACAUGGACUCAAGCGACGACUACAUCCUGUUCAACAUCACCCGGCCACCGCAAGCUGGAGAGCUCAUGAAGAUCCCUGGUCCUGGACUCACUGGUUAUCCUGUCAGCCGUUUCCUGCAGAAGGACUUGUUCCACUCUGUGGUCUACUACCGCCAUCUAGGGAAUGAGGUGUUUGAUGACUCCUUCGAAGUGGUGCUCUCGGACUUCCAUGACCCACCCAACCUUUCAGAACCUCAGGUCAUAGUGGUGCACAUCAGCCCUGUGCCUGACCAGCCACCUAAAGAGGUCCCUGGGGUGACUCGCUGCCUGGUGGUCAAAGAGACAGAGGUGGUCCACCUGACCAAGAAGCAGCUUCACUUCAUCGACCUGGAGUCCCCUGACAGUGAGCUCACAUACACUGUUACCACUCCGCCCUUCUACAGCAGGUCUUAUGGGGUCCAUGAUGCAGGGAGGCUGUUCCUGGUUGACAGCAUUGCCAAAUUCACCAAGGAUGCUGAAGCCCCAGUGUUAAGGUUAUUCACACAGCAUGCAGUCAACUACAUGAAAGUGGCCUACAUGCCUCCCAUCCUGGACAUUGGGCCUUACCCGCAGCACAUCCGGUUGGUGCUCUCCGUCACCAACCAGCAGGGAACCACAGUCGCUGGCAUCUGCUUCAACAUUACCGUGGUGCCAGUGGACAACCUGGCCCCAGAGGUGCACAUGAAACCUCUGACAGUGGACGAGGGUGGGGAGUGCUGGGUGGGUCCGGACCACCUGCUGCUGGAAGACCAUGACUCUACAGAGGAGAGCCUGAGAGUGGAGCUGAAGAGAGAGCCUCAGCAUGGAGCUGUUCAGCUGGAUGGCUUCUCCAUGAAACCGGGCCAGAACUUCACUGUUCGCGACCUGAAAAGCCUAAAAGUUAGAUAUCAUCACGACAGCUCGGAAACAGUGGGCGAUGCCAUUGAAUUAAUCGCUACCGAUGGGAUUAACGCAAUCAACUUUGUUCUGGAAGUUAAGGUGACACUGAUCAAUGAUGAGGUUCCAGUUCUCAUGCCAGGUCUGAAACCUGUUCUGGACUGUGCAGAGGGACAGGAAGUCAUCAUCACCGCUGAGUACAUUUAUGCCACAGACGCAGACAGUGACGAUAACAGUCUGACCUACAUGAUUGCCCGUCAGCCAUACCAUGGCGUGGUGCGCAAAAACGCCAUUGUGGUCGAUCGCUUCAUUCAGGCAGACAUUGUCGCAGGGAGUAUCACCUACGAACACACAGGAGCGGAGAUUGGACUAGCCCCUCGACACGACACAAUCACGUUUGUGAUAUCCGACGGCCAGGUGGAGAACGCUCCGUCAUGCUGUAAUGACCGAGGGGACACAUUGAAAAGAGGCAGGACACAAGCCCAGGAGAGCCUGCCUCUGUAUGACCUGAAGGUCACCGUGUUCCCUGUGGACAGUCAGAUGCCUUCUAUUGCAACGGGAGAUGUGUUUGUGGUGGAUGAGGGGGGUGUGGCCCCUAUAACUGUAGCCCACCUCAGUGCCUCGGAUGUGGACACUCCCCUGGAGGAGCUGGUGAUCAGCCUGGUCUCUCCUCCCCAGUAUGGCUACAUUGAGAAUAUCCUGCCCAGUCCUGGAUUUGAGAAAAGCAACACAGGCAUCAGCAUCGCCUCCUUCUCUUACAGUGACAUCAUGAACGGACAUGUGAACUAUGUCCAGUCCAGACACCAGAGGAUUGAGCCAACCGCUGACCAGUUCAUGCUCUGUGUCUCUGACGGGAAACACACCUCGGCCCACGUCCACUUCUACAUCAUCAUCAACCCCAUCAAUGACGAGGUCCCGGAGUUUCUCGCCAGAAAUAUCACGGUGCGAGAGGGCCAUAUGAAGGAGCUGGACCCUGCUGUUAUAAACGCGGUGGAUCUGGACAUCCCUAAGAACAACCUGCUGUUCAGCGUGGUCCAGGCCCCCCAGCAUGGCACCAUCAUGGGCCGAACGUAUGGCAACGACGUGCCCGCCAAUGGAAGACCCGUCAACAGGCACAGGGACGCAGAGGUGCUGGUCCAUGACUUCACCAUGCAGGAGUUGAGGAAUGGUAUGUCUCUGAUGUACAUGCAUGAUGACUCUGAGAACAUGGUGGACAGCUUCACCAUCCAGCUGGACGAUGGGAAACACCAGCUCCAGAGGCACGUGAUGGUCAACGUACUCCCUGUCAAUGACGAGGAGCCUCGAGUCAUAAGGAACAAUGGACUGGAGGUGGAGGCAGGCGAGGCUAGGCUGAUCUCCAGUGCUAUUCUCUUUGCUCAGGACAGCGACACUACCUCUCAGGAGAUAGUCUACAUGUUGGAGAGCGUUCCCACUCAGGGACUGCUACAGGUUAAGGUAGGCUCUGACUGGGUGACCCAGUCUGCGGGGAUGAACUGCACCCAGGAGACAGUGGACAUGAACCUGCUGCGCUACCUCCAUACCGGGCCACUGGGACACACACAGGAUUUCUUUGUGUUCCACCUGCUGGACGGGAAGAACCGCUCCCCCGCGCAGCACUUCCACAUCUCCCUCAAGGACAUGGAGAAAGGAGACAUUGCUAUUUUUGUGAUGCCGGUGAAGACCAGCCGCGGUGAGCGCAUGGUUCUGACCACAGACGUCCUGCUGGCGACGGACGGUACAGACAAACCCGAGGAGCUGUUCUACAUCGUUACAGUCCCCCCCGGCAACGGCCACAUGGAGUACAUCAAACACCCUGGGGUGGCCAUCAGCACCUUCAGCCAGAUGGACAUCGCUGCCAACCUGGUGGGCUACGUCCACGACAACAGAGCCACCGCGUCGUUGGAGACACUACAGUUCGUCGUCAGCAAUGGCAAGGCCACCCGUAACGGCACCCUGGAGAUUUACGUUGAGACCACCGACCGCGUGCUGCCAUCACUGACCUGUAACAGCGGCUUGAGAGUCCUUCAGGACUCCUCCAUGGCGGUGACCCCUGACGCCCUCGCCUUGUCCGACCCCGACACCCCACCCAGUGACCUGCUCUUCUUUCUGGCCCAGCCUCCGCAGUACGGCACACUGCUUCGUGGCGGUGUCCCGCUCGCUGCCGGGGGUAACUUCACCCAGUGGGACCUGCAGGAGCUGGAGGUGACUUACAGGCACGGGGGCGGCCCGUCGCAGAUCGACCGCUUUGCCUUCACGGCCUCAGACACUACCAACAGGAGUUUCCUGCUGGAGGGAAGGGUGCAGACGGAACCUGUUAUCUUUACCAUUCAGAUUGAGCCUUUGGACAGCUCGGCUCCUGAGGUUGUGCAGCUGCAGUCUCUGUGGAAGGCUGAAGUCCUGUCUGACGGUCGCUAUGGGAUCUACCUCUCGUACCGGGAGCUGAGAGCGCAGGACGGCAACACCAAGGACGAAGACCUCACCUUCCACAUCCACAGACCACCAUACUUUGGCUACCUGGAGAAUACGUUUAAAGGCAGCUUUAUCCAGCAGCAUUUCACUCAGAGGGACCUGAGCAAAAGGACUAUCGUGUAUAUCAUAGACCCAGCGACAGAAGCCCUGUCGGACAGCCUGGAGUUCAGAGUGUCCGACCCCCUGGGGAACACUGGGCCCUCCCACACGCUGGAGCUGAAGUGGUCUCGUGUGGAGCUGGCUGUGUCUGAGUACCAGGCAUGUGAGGACCAGGGCACUGUCUCACUGGACGUCCUACGGAAAGGCAACAUGGCCGAGUCCUCGUACAUCACCAUCAAGGUGAGAGAGGUCACAGCGACUGCUGGAAAGGAUUUCACUCUGAGCCCGUCCAGCCUAAUCCAGUUUGAUCCUGGCGUAUCCAAAAGGAGCUGGCGUAUUGAAAUUACCCAAGAUCACCUGGAGGAGGCAGAGGAGACAUUUGAAGUGACACUGGUGUCCCCUGAGGGAACCGUAGUAGGCAGCACCUCCAAAGCGCUGGUUAAAAUCAAGGACUCUGGGAAAGGACAGUGUGGAUCCAGUCGGGCCCCUAUGGGCUCCAGUCUGGGGGGGAAGCAGGUUCAGUCAGGGCCGUACCCCCAACAUGGCUCCAUUCAUUUGGAGACACUACCCCUUGCCAAGGGAGACCAGCAGAUGACCUGGACCCGGGGCGAUGGUAUGCCCCAGUCUGUGCCCGCUGCUGUGCCCGCCACACCCAAUAUGAAACUCAGAGCCAUGGCCAACAGAAAGACGAUUCCACCAUCGUCAGUCCAUCGUAAUGGAACAGACACUGUGUUCAUGUACCACGGGAUCAUGUCCGUGCGCCUGGAGGAUGACAAGUCUCCGUCUAGGAAGGGAAGGAAGGCUAAUAUUCAGGUGACCAGCAGAGGGCGGCAGCAACAUGCAGCCGCAGCACCACCAGUGGCUCCCAACCUCAACCCUAAACCUGUCCCUAAGACAAAGAGUGACCACUUGCUCCCACGUUCAAUGCCUGAGCAGCCCAAUAAGGAGCCUUCACCUAGCUCUAGCCCUAAACCCUGUGUCCCAGAGCUGAUGGGGCUCCUACACUUUAACCAGAGCUCAGGCGGGCUCCUCCGCUGCAACGGGGUCUCCUGGAAGCCCUGGGCUCCCACUGAUGAGUAAUGAACUCUCACCUCAUUGGCCAGCCAUUUUCAUCCUCCCCCGACACAGAUGGUCAGUGCUCAGAAUUGUCGUAAGGGCUGGACCUAUCACAGUGGCAACUGCUACUUCCUGAGCACCGAGCGCAAGUCGUCGUGGAGCACCGCCAUCAGAGCAUGCAGGGAGAGUCACCAAGCCAAUCUGGUGAGCGUUUUUUCCAAGGCUGACAUGGACUGGCUGUGGGACUUCAGUGGAAGGAAGCCAUUCUGGAUAGGUCUAAACGACAGGGAGAGCCGAGGACGCUGGGAGUGGGUGGGUGGAGAACCCAUCACCUACACCAACUGGAGGAAGAGCCCGGCCAGAGGCAAGAGGAAGGGGACCAGGAGGUGUGUUCUGGUGUGGAGGAGGGCCAAGUGGCAGAUCAGAGACUGUAAGACGGGCAGGGGUCAUCUCUACAUGUGUUACAUCAAGACGUGAGCCGAGGGGGGGAUCCCUACGUUGGAUUGAUGCUAUGAAUCGGAACUAUUUUCUUUUCACUGUUGUUCCAACAGGAGUGGAGCUGACCCUCAAGACAAGUUGCAUUCAUACAGGUAACAUCAACCAAUCACCCAAAAGGAGAUUUACUACGGUACUACAGAGCUAGAUGAAGAGCUCAGCUUUAAUGAAAACGGAAGUACUGCAUCAAACACAUCAGUCAAACACACACAUGCACCACUGAAGCUCACGCUUUUCCCAGCUACUGUAGUUUAAAGGGAUCGUUCUCUCCAAUGACACUGGAUUCCUUACCAUUCUUAAUGUUGAGUAGCUUUAACAUGUACCGUACUGUUCACAUGUGUAACAGCUAUACUUAUUACUAUUAUUAUUGUUGAGUGCUGUAACUGCUGCACUGGUCAUCUGUGUAAUAUUUAAUAUCUGUGUAUAACAAAUUGUAUUGUGAGUAACGCAUACCUCUCAACGUGUACAUUUCAAGUAUUAUUUGAUUUCACCGUCUCAAGGUUGUAUUCAAAUGUACGGUCCUUGAUGGUAGUAACACUGUCUUGUCUGAAAUCCGUCAUAACUGGGUUUGUGGACUAUAGUAUUUCUGUAUUAACAAAAUGUAAUAUUUUAUGAAUAACAACAUAAGAUUCAGGUUACUCUCAUCACUGACACUACACUCAAUGGCCAGUUUAUUAGGUAUGCCAUCCUGUUCACUAAAAUGCUUUGCGCCUACAGACAGUGAGUCACGUGGCCGUGGCUUGCUAUAUAAAGCAGGCAGACAGGCAUCGAGGCAGUCGGUCACAGUUAGAUUGAACGUUCGAGUGGGGGGAAACUAGUGACCUAAGCAACUUUGAGCGUGGUAUGAUGGUCAGUUCCAGUAUCUCAGAAAACAGCUCGUUGAAGAGCGGUCGAAGGAGAAUGGCAAGAAUUGUGCAAGCUAACAGGCGUGCCACAAACUGGCAGAUAACGGAAAUACAUUGAGUGGAAAAACAUUGCCUGUGUCAUGCUGAUGGCAUAGUCAGGAUUUUGGCAUCCAUGACCCCAUCCUGGUGUCAACGGUACAGGCUGGUGGUGGUGCUGUAAUGGUGUCAGGAAUGUUUUCCUGGCACACGUUACGUCCCUUGACACAUAUUGAGCAACGUUUCCAGAUCCCAAAGAAUUUGGGCCAUUCUGGAUGCAAAGGGACGUCUGACCCAGAACUAGAUGGGCACACUUAAUACUGGCCACUGAGUGUAUAUGGUGCCAACUCUACAGUUCACAUUAUGCCACAGAAACUCAAAUACACAAAUACAGAAAGGCAUCAGCUGCCUUCGAGACAGCAUGCAGUUGUGGGAUCACUCAGUUGCUUUCUCAAAUUACAUUGUGACAGUUGCCACAUUUUAGCCAGUUACUGUACUGAAUUUAUUUUAAUUUCACAUUCCAUUUCAAAUGUAAUGAUUUGUAUGCAAUUAUUUUAUAAACGUAUAUUAUUCCAGGAA